UUCUGCUAAGAGAAUUACAAUUAUUUUUGUCUCUCCUACUUUUAUUACAUUCCUAAAACAUAAUGAGUUACUUAAUCACCUUCCCCCUUUUGUGCCUAAUUGGAGUUUUAUUAUUAUGUCAGGUAGACAACGUGAUUGCUAAAGCUGAAUUCAACCCCCCAAUUGUACCAUUAAACAUGUGCGAGAUGAAAAAAGAUAACCCAUUCCUGAAAUUCCUGAAAUCACCACCUCCAAGCGAUGACAAAAUUAAGAGGCUAAUAGAGAAGUAUUACGGGGUGGCUACUGCUGACGGAUCAUGCCCUAGUAAAAAUAGACAUCUAAAUCAGGAUGUGAGAUGGUUUUAAUAUCGUUGGAUUCAUUUGUUGGGAAGGACAAAUUGCUGAAGGCAGAGCCAUACCUCAGAGCAAGGGCACACCCGGACUGCUCGGUACUGGAGGAGAGCUAUCUUUGGACGGCAUCAUUAACGUAAAAGGGGCCGUAGGAGCUUUGGGCAACACACUGUCUGAUGUCUUGGACGCAGUUACGGGAUUGUUUAGCUAAACAUCACAACCAGAGAGAAACUCGCUCAGGAUUUUGUAGUAUAAUUUUUCACGAUAAAAUAUUUUCUACUGUU